GGGAGAGUGGGGCUCAGCAUGCGCAUGCGCAAUUCGCGCGAGCGCAGUCAACAUGUGAUUGAUGAGCCAGUCUUUUUCCUGGGAUUCGCUUUUGCCUUUCUUGCAAAGUUUCCUGGGGAAAGAAGAGCGAGCAAGUAGAAAAGGGAAAGUGGGAGGACCCAUUUCAGGGAGAGAACAGAGUCGAAAAAAGGUCCGAGGAGCCCAUAGGCAAGGCCCAGUGGAUGUUUUGCAGCCAACUCCGGUGCAGUUGGGCAGAGUCCUGCCCUCCUUGGGCCUGUUUUCUCAUUUGUAAUAGGGGUCAUUUUGCACUAGCUUCGUGCAUCCCAAAUGAUCCUGUCAGAGUCCUCCUCCCACCUACCUGAGGGACUGCUACCUGGGGGUCCUGGAGGUGGAAGAUCGGUCUUUUCUGUGUUAAUUGUUCACACUCUUGAUUCUUCCGUCCUGUGCUUCCGUAUAUAAUCCAUAGCUCUCCCUCCCUUUUCAGCGUUUUCAACGUUUGUGAGGGAAGUUGAGGUACCAAUAAGAUGCACCACCUUUGUCCUGUGGCUCACCUGGGCCCUCGACCAGCUGCAUAUCCUCCCACGUCCCUCUUCUUCUACCCCAGUUCUAGAAACGGGUUGGAUCAUCUCCGAUCUUCCUUUCAGCCCAGACAGUGGUUUUUGCUCGUGUGUGAACCUGCUUCGCCUCCCCUCCCUUCCCUUGCUAUUCACCUGUAAAUGUACUUUGCUUACUAAGCACUUUGGGACCUCACCAGUGAGCAGGUGUUGACUUCUGGACCUCCCAAGGCCUAGAGAAGACUCUCGGGAUGUGGGGUUGGGGAAUGUGGGGCUGUG
rnacentral:lncRNA from 1 species